rnacentral:rRNA from 1 species
UACAGAGGUCUCAAGCGUUGUUCGGAUUCAUUGGGCGUAAAGGGCGCGUAGGCGGCGGGGUAAGUCGGGUGUGAAAUCUCAGAGCUCAACUCUGAAACUGCACUCGAUACUGCUCUGCUUGAGGACUGGAGAGGAGACUGGAAUUCACGGUGUAGCAGUGAAAUGCGUAUAUAUCGUGAGGAAGACCAGUGGCGAAGGCGGGUCUCUGGACAGUUCCUGACGCUGAGGCGCGAAGGCCAGGGGAGCAAACGGG